rnacentral:tRNA from 1 species
GGUUAGGUAGUUCAGUUGGUUAGAGCAUUGUCCUGACACGUCAAGGCUGUGGGUUCAAUCCCUGGUCAGGACCA